GCGUGGCCAGGACAGCUGACGUGAACUGCAAAGGGAUAUUCCAUACCGUGGAAUAUUGAGCCCAGUAUAUAAACUAGGGGGAGCUGGCUGGGAGCUGCUGAUCACUGCUGAGGGGUGGAAUGAGCAUUGGCCAGUGGUGUCUUCCAGACAGAGCAGACAAAUUUUCUCUCUCCUACAUCUUUGGCUUUGCUGCAUCCAUGGUGUGAGGUUAUCCAGGAAAACAAGAGAUUUGCCUGUGAAGAGUCUCGACACAGCUUGGCACUGAUUGGCCCAUGAGUGAAAACAACUCACAGCAGAAUCCAGUAAGG